ACACAAACGUGUUUUUUUACACAUGGGUUUACAAGAUUUCGACUCUUUAUUUCAAAUAUACAAGUACCUAAACUAUGGUUUUAAAAUUUAGUCAAUGUAAUACAUAGUGGAGAAAGUACAGCCAGACAUUGUAGACGUAAUUUGUUGAGUUAGCUCUUCGGAAGUUUUAAACUAACCAAAUUAAUUUUUAGACAUAGUAUUGUUUAUUAACAUCUAUACAAAACUAUUUUGAAUAUUUCCCAAAAUCGACCUUUUACCACUUUUCUUCAUGAAUCACUUAAGCUUCAGCUUUCCGCAAUCGAAAGUGAAGGAUAUCCGUUUUACCUGGGACAAUAACAUCAGAUUCGCCGACGUUUCCAUUUACACCCACAAUAGACAUUGCUUCUCCACCCAAUACCAUUUGAGAUACCUGUCCAGCAGUCGUUCCUUGCUUCACUAAGAUGCAAUCUCUGAAAACACCUUCAUUAGGAGAGUUUGCAAAAUUGUGAACGUUUUUAACGGGAAAAACUGGAAUCAAAUUUAAAAGUUCCAUUGCCUUUGCUAAAACAUUACAAACUCCAGUUGAACCGUGUCGAAAUAAUACCAUGUCUUGGAGGUCUGCGAUACGGGUUUUAAGAUUUUCGCUCAAAGGUUUCAAGCCAGAGUCAGGAAAAUCGUCUAGCGUAUCAACAAAUUCAGAGCCCUCCUCGUACUUAACAAACCCCUGUUUUGCCAAUCUUCGAAGAAAAACUUCGGAUAUGGCUGAAGCCAGUACGAGUCGAUUUGGAUCUUCUUUUCUAGCUAUUUUAGAUAUAUUUGCAUCCGCAUCAGGAUGAUCAAUUUUGUUAAGAGCAAUAACGGUAGGAAACUUGAUAUCAACGAAUCUGUUAACCACUUUUUCAAUUGUAUCAUCAUCCCAUUUCUCCAAAGGUGUAUCUAAAUGUAGCGAAUCUAAGACUUUAGCUGUAACAGCAGGGGUACUUCCAUAUCCAGAAAACUGGGAUUGUAGUGUAUUGACAGGAUUGGCUUUCGUAGCAAUAUGCCUACGAACUAUAUUAGGCCAUUUCUCUCUCAGAUUGUUUCCGAUCCAUGCAGUUAUUUCCUUAUACAACCAAGCGAUAUCUACAGAAGGAUCAUAUCCACGACACACUUUUCCUUCCGCAUCAGUAGUACCUGAGACAUCUACCACAUGGACCAAAGCAUCGGCAUGCCGUAAAUCGUCUAAAAAUUUAUUGCCAAGCCCCUUUCCAGCAUGCGCACCUGGAAUAAGACCAGCUACAUCAAGCAGCUGAAUAGGAAUUGAACGUACACCAUUUUUGCAACCACCAUAAAUUGGUUUACAUUUGUCCUGUAGUCCAAAUCUUGAGCACGCGCAUUCUAUUUGAGCAUAGCCAAUAGCCCGGUUUGGCUCAAUAGUGGUAAAAGGGAAAUUACCAGUUUUAGCAGUGGCAUCUGUCAACGCAUUCAGCAUCGUAGAUUUACCACUGGAGGGCUUGCCAACAAAUCCAAUUAAAAUGUCUCUACCCAUUAUUUGGAAACCUUAGAAGAAGUAUGUGAGAAAAAUUGGUACUGAAAUCCAGGACCUACUCGUACUCUGCAAUCUGAGAAUUAGAGUAGUGGUAAGGGUCGAGUGUUUCGUAAUACCUGCUUUUAGGACUAAAGAUUUAAAGGAUUGUUUGCUUGCACAUUUAUAAUAUUUUUUUUUUA